rnacentral:rRNA from 1 species
UACAGAGGGUGCGAGCGUUAAUCGGAAUUACUGGGCGUAAAGCGUGCGUAGACGGUUAUUUAAGUCGGGUGUGAAAGCCCCGGGCUCAACCUGGGAAUUGCAUUCGAGACUGAAUAGCUAGGGUACGGUAGAGGGAAGCGGAAUUUCCGGUGUAGCGGUGAAAUGCGUAGAUAUCGGAAGGAACACCGGUGGCGAAGGCGGCAUCCUGGACCAAUAUUGACGCUGAGGAGCGAAAGCCAGGGGAGCAAACGGG